ensembl:lncRNA
CUAAGGGAGCAGCUAGUGUGCUGUGGUAAGGGGGGAGGUUUGGGGAGGCUAAAGGCUGGAUUAAGCAUAGUUAGCAGCCGAGAUGGUGAAUAUAACUAGUAUAGCGACGUUGCUCAAGUGACUGCGUGUGGUCAGGGCGAUAUUAAAACGAUUUUCUCAAGAAAGAUAACAACCUUUUUCAGCAUGGACUCCAUGCACAUAACACACGUCUGAAGUGCACUUGAAUUGUGUGUAUACUCCAAACAAAACUGACCAUGAUGUACCGCUUGUUUUCCGCCUUGGGUGUUCUAUUCGGAAUGGCCUCAGCGGACGGCUCUUAUGGCUUAGGGCCGGAGCCAAAGAGGAUAUGUCCUGGGAUGCCAUUCACUUUUACACUGACAUAUAGGAUAAGCGGAGCAGACCUGAUGUUCUACAAGAACGGGGUCGAGAGGAAGGUUGCCACUACCAAGGAGAUUAUAGACCCCCAGUUUCGGCUCAAUGGCAGUGAACCUUAUUUACCCGAGGUCAUGAAAACGCAUGAAGGGAAGUAUUAUUGGAAGGCUCCAUCGGUCGAUUUUGAACUGAAUUACAUCAGACUAAUUCUGAAAGACUGCAGUGUUCGUCAAAAUGUGGUGUACGGUGAGGAGUUGGCCUUAAAUGUGCCGGCGGACGCGUCUGUGUUGGAGUUCACCCCUCACCUCUCAGACCAACACUCCGUCCUGUGGAGACGGAUACACAGAGGGGGGGACGAGGAAGCAAGGGGCGCGGUUAAGGACGGCCGCUGGACAGCACAGAGGAUGACCCAAGCGGAUCAGGGGCGCUACACUUUACUCAGGGAGAGUGGUGGCCAGAUCUCCAGCACUGUGGUCUCUGUUGAAGGUAAGAGCAAUGAAGCGCGUGCUGAGAAUAUGGGACAGAUGAUUGCCAGAAUAGUAAAAGAAGACAAGGUGUUGCCAUAUUUCUCUGUAAGUAAGUAACUUCUACUUCUGGUUUAUAUAGGUUGAGAUAACUUUCAAAAAAGAUUCACAAGGUGAACUGAUUUGUGAAUAUCACAAAUAAUAUGAUUCAAAUAUCUCCCAUCCUUCAUUUGUGCAAUCACUUGUCUUCAUUGAUUAGAGGAAAACUAUGCCACAUAUAUUAUAUGCCGUUUGACAUGUUUAAUGAGAUACAGGAAUUGCUUUGCUUUGAAGAGUACAUUUUAGCACCCCCCUUUUUCAAGCAUGUUCACCUCAAUUUCACAUUUGUUUAUGAUUUCCUACACUUCCCAGAAUGCAUUUCAACCACUACUAGCUAAC